AAAAAGGGUGCUUGUUACUGGAGAGCAUACGAAUUCAUACGGGUUCGUAGGGUAUGGCAAUCAAGACAUACCCAGCACGUAAUUUUUGUUACCGUGGGGCUGUCUCUUGGCAAUGUCUCAGAGACGCCCCC